GCGAAUCGGAUCCAUCGCCCACGAUUCGAUUCUUCACUAAUUUCCAAACGGGCCCCCUUCCUUCGCAUCUUCUCUCCAUCUCCUUUGUUCUUUCUAAUCACCUUCAUCACAUCAAAAACCCUUGCUUUUGUAAUCCCUGUUGAAUCCAUUUCUUGUCUUCAACCUCGAGUUGGUUGCUUCGAUUGCUUGAUUCUGCUGGAAUCAUCGCGGAAUCGUGAGAAUCCGGUAAGAAUACCAUUUUCGUAUUUUUCUUCGAUGCAUGUUGAUAUGAAUAUAAUCUUUUAAUUUCUUGAAACAUUGAAGGCUAUGUUUUUUUCUUUUUGAUUAGAUAUUGCUAGAAAAAAUUGUUUCAUUGAACAACUGUGGAUUUUUCGUUCUCAGGGUUGUGGGUUGAAUUAGGUUGAUAGAA
rnacentral:lncRNA from 1 species